CAUUCGAGUGGCGGACGGGUGAGUAACGCGUGGGUAACCUGCCUUACACAGGGGGAUAACACCUGGAAACAGGUGCUAAUACCGCAUAAGCGCACAGGGCCGCAUGGCCCGGUGUGAAAAACUCCGGUGGUGUAAGAUGGACCCGCGUCUGAUUAGCUUGUUGGCGGGGUAGGGGCCCACCAAGGCGACGAUCAGUAGCCGGCCUGAGAGGGUGGACGACCACAUUGGGACUGAGACACGGCCCAAACUCCUACGGAAGGCAGCAG
rnacentral:rRNA from 1 species